GACAGAGGGUGCAAACGUUGCUCGGAAUUACUGGGCGUAAAGCGCAUGUAGGCGGUCUCGCGAGUCGGGUGUGAAAGCCCGGGGCUCAACCCCGGACGUGCAUUCGAUACUACGAGGCUGGAGUACUGUAGAGGAGAGCGGAAUUCCCGGUGUAGAGGUGAAAUUCGUAGAUAUCGGGAGGAACACCAGUGGCGAAGGCGGCUCUCUGGACAGUGACUGACGCUGAGACGCGAAAGCGUGGGUAGCAAACAGG
rnacentral:rRNA from 1 species